rnacentral:rRNA from 1 species
UACAGAGGUGGCAAGCGUUGUUCGGAAUUACUGGGCGUAAAGGGCGAGUAGGUGGCCAUCUAAGUCAGACGUGAAACCCCCCGGCUUAACCUCGGGAACCUGCGUCUGAUACUGGACGGCUUGAGUAUGGGAGAGGAAUGUAGAAUUCCAGGUGUAGCGGUGAAAAUGCGUAGAUAUCUGGAGGAAUACCGGUGGCGAAGGCGGCAU